rnacentral:pre_miRNA from 8 species
AUUAAGAAAUGGUAUACAGGAAAAUGACCUAUGAAUUGACAGACACUAUAGCUGAGUUUGUCUGUCAUUUCUUUAGGCCAAUAUUCUGUAUGACUGUGCUACUUC